AUGCUCUCGGCUGAAGGUUUUGCAGUCCCAACAUUUCUCGCUCUUGAAGGAUGCAACGAGUCAUUCAUUUCAUUUGAAAAAUCUGCAAAUGUCACAUCUGUCCAGAACCUGAGAUUUGAAGAUUGUCAAAUGAUGUCCCUGCCAACUAGUCUGACGUGCUUCUCCAAUCUGAAAAAUCUUGUCAUCUUUGGCUGCCCCAACAUAUCAUCUUUACCGGACCUGCCAUCCUCCCUCCAGCGCAUAUGCAUUUGGGGUGGUUGUGAGCUCUUGAAGGAGAGCUGCCGAGCACCUGAUGGAGAAAGUUGGCCAAAGAUCGCGCAUAUCCGCUGGAAGGAUUUAUAA
rnacentral:rRNA from 1 species